rnacentral:misc_RNA from 1 species
CAUGCAGAACGCUCACCUCCCAAGAUCUUGGUUUUUAUAAGGUGUAAUGAUAAUGUAAGCUAAUGUUUCACAUGCCAAAGGAAACACCAUGAGCCACAGGGAAUUGUUC